UUAAAUUAUUUUUUAAUACUCUCUGAUUAGUAUAUUUAAAAAAAGUGAUUUUCUCAACAAUAAUGCCAAACAGACCCUUCAAUUUCAGUUUGCCCAAAUAAACACUUAGAUUGUUUAGCAAAAAAAAUGCUAAUCCUGCAGUACUUUAAAUAAUUGAUGCGAACCUCAAGAAAGAUGCCUUGAAACCCACGAACAGGUAUGUUUUAUAAUCCCAAUAGAGUCAAAAUUAAAUUCAAA
rnacentral:misc_RNA from 1 species